UUGCUUUAGCAGUAUGGAUGCCAAAACUGGAAUGAUUCAGAGAUGAUUAAUUAGCAUGGCCCCUGCUUAAAUAAUAUACACAUUUGAGAAGCGUUCUAUAUUAGA